CUGGUGGAUGUACUUUGUAGGGGUCCUUGAAAGCCGGAGUUGUUGGAGAGGCUUCCAUUGAUCUUUCGAGUUAUGCAGAGGCAACCAAGGUUUCCUAUGUGUCUCUUCCCCUCAAAAAUUCGAAAUCUGGGGCCAUAUUGCACGUAUCGAUAAAGAGGGUUCAGGAUUCUACAGUCCAGAGUACCAUUGUAGAAAGUGAACAUGCA